rnacentral:lncRNA from 1 species
CUUGUUCUGGGCACUGGGAGCAGGACGCGAGUCUGUGGGCUGGUGCAAAAGGAACACGGGAGGCCCAAGGGGCCGUAAGAAUUUCAAGACAGCAACUGCAGGGCGUUCAGCCAAACUCAGGCCGCUCGAGCACAGAGCUGUGGGCUGCCCGGCGCAUGGCCCGAAGCCGGGGAUGGCUUGUCAUCUCGCAACACUGGCUGCCGGCCUGUGACAGGAUUUGUGGCCACACCGCAGGGCUCAUAGCACAGAAAGCGAGCUGGCUCUGGGCCUGAUUCCAUGGGGUCGGGGCUUGAGACCCUGCCCCAGCUCGGCCGCCCCCUCCCUGCUGGGGAGCGUGUCCAAGGGGCGGGCGGGCUGGCGGAAGGACUGCAAGCAGGCAAGGGAGGAGCGCUCCCAGCGCAGGUGCUUGCUGCUCCAUCCAGCCGUGGCGAGCUCCGAAGGCUUUGGAGCGGCCUGUGUUUUUCCUCUUCUAUUUUUAUUUCCUCAAAUCUAAGACCAAGAGCAGCGAGGGCCAGAGUCCUGAAGGGGUCUGAGCCAGGAGGAAUCGAUCCACGGGCCAAGGAAAAAAUGUCUGCAAAAGGUCACAGUGAGUGUCUGUGGAAGGGAUAGACGGACUCCAACCUGAGUGCAGGGCUGGGGCCCUGAGACAGGGUCUGUCCAGCGACCCGAUGCCCCCGACUUAAGCUGGGGCGGGGCUGCCUCUGCAGAGCCCCAGCAUGACGGGUGGCGUUUUCGUGGACACCUGGGUGGAUAGCGCCCCCUGGAGGUGUGCAGGGCCCGCCCACUAACAUCCAGCAAGCAUCUCACGGGGCCAUUUUCACUGCCUGCGCCUUAGCCUAAACUGGGAAUGGCAGCUGCAGCGUGCGGCUUCUCAGCUUCUCCCCAGGAAGUGAGCUCAACGGGGCAGCCCUCCGUGUCCUUGGGCAGGGGCCCCGGCCGAAGCGAGGGCUCUGGAGCUUGGAGCGUGUUUGCAAAGAUCCAGACGGGUCAUCCUACCAUCCUUCCCAGGCACAUCCGACAGCAGCUGGGGUGACGAGUGACUUUAUCAACAAUUUUGGAACUCCAGAACUAGGCUGCCGUGUUGUGAGAGGACCACACGGACAGGACCUGGCAGUGGCCUCUCAGAGCGGAGAGUGACCCGUGCUUGACAGCCAGUGGCCUCUCGGAGUGGAGAGAGACAGCCACCAAGAAAAUGGGGACCUCAGUUCCACAACUGCAAGGAAUUGAGUUUGGCCAACGACCUGAACGAGCUCGGAAGAGGACGCAGCCACUUCAGGUGAGGGCGCAGCCGCUGGCACCGUGCAUUCACCCGGGUGAGAUCCUGAGCAGUGAACCCAGCUCCGCCCUGCCCGAACUUCCGAUCCGCGGAAGACGGAAGACGAC